UACGAAGGGUGCUAGCGUUAAUCGGAAUUACUGGGCGUAAAGCGUGCGCAGGCGGUUUUGUAAGCCAGGUGUGAAAUCCCCGGGCUCAACCUGGGAAUGGCAUUUGGGACUGCAAGGCUGGAGUGCGGCAGAGGAGACUGGAAUUCCUGGUGUAGCAGUGAAAUGCGUAGAUAUCAGGAGGAAUACCGAUGGCGAAGGCAGGUCUCUGGGCUGACACUGACGCUCAUGCACGAAAGCGUGGGGAGCAAACAGG
rnacentral:rRNA from 1 species